GGAGAGUGGAGAGUUCCGGCCUGCGAAUACCAUUAUUGACCGUGAGCAGAACGUGCCUACAGGACAUGAACCUGUCAUGAACCUGACGGGACCGUGGCGAGGAAACGCAACUGAGCUGAACCAACAAACAAAGAAACAAAGACAAAACUUCAAUGCUUUAAUUUACAUCUGAUGUUAGAAAUAAAUAAAGUCAAGUUCAUUAUAGCCACGUCUCAUGGACUCUACUUUCACGCGUUCAACAAAGCAAACACCGGAACUCACAAGAAGUGGUAAAACAAUUGACAAGUUUUAGCCAUUACAAUAGUCAAUAAUGCCGCAACUUUGGACCUUUUGAUGGAUCAUUACUGGAUACAAUUGGAUUACCCUUGGAACAAGGCAACCCUUGGAUUACUACGAACCUUUCACUGAGAAGCAGCAGCGCGCCAUGCGCAACAAACAAACCAAUCAAUUAACUUGAUCGGAGGAGCAGAAAAGAUGACCACAAAGUCAUCGGCCAGAGAUAAGUAGUACCUACUCAUGUUAUGAUUUAAGUUAAUGGUAACAAUAAACUACAAAGAAUUUAGGCUCCUUUAUGAUUUGAGUGUUGUAAUAGUUGCCCAUGCACACUAUUAGGGGCCGGUGUGUAGGAGCCAUGUGAGACCUUUUUGAGUAUUCAGUUUGAUAUUUUAGUUUGUGUGACAAAAUUAUUAUUAGUGAACUUAUUUGUAUUGAAUUGUCCCAAAUUAGGAAAUUGUAAUUUGUUUCUGAGUGUGUGCCCCCUAUAGGUAAGGCACUAAUUGUCUAUAGCAUAAAGGUGUGCCAGGCCAAGGAGAGUGGAGAGUUCCGGCCUGCGAAUACCAUUAUUGACCGUGAGCAGAACGUGCCUACAGGACAUGAACCUGUCAUGAACCUGACGGGACCGUGGCGAGGAAACGCAACUGAGCUGAACCAACAAACAAAGAAACAAAGACAAAACUUCAAUGCUUUAAUUUACAUCUGAUGUUAGAAAUAAAUAAAGUCAAGUUCAUUAUAGCCACGUCUCAUGGACUCUACUUUCACGCGUUCAACAAAGCAAACACCG
ensembl:lncRNA